UUCGGUACAUCGGUGACAGGUGGUGCAUGGUCGUCGUCAGCUCGUGUCGUGAGAUGUUGGUUAAGUCCCGCAACGAGCGCAACCCCUAUUGUUAGUUGCCAUCAUUCAGUUGGGCACUCUAGCGAGACUGCCGGUAAUAAACCGGAGGAAGGUGGGGAUGACGUCAAAUCAUCAUGCCCCUUAUGACCUGGGCUACACACGUGCUACAAUGGUUGGUACAACGAGUUGCGAGUCGGUGACGGCGAGCUAAUCUCUUAAAGCCAAUCUCAGUUCGGAUUGUAGGCUGCAACUCGCCUACAUGAAGUCGGAAUCGCUAGUAAUCGCGGAUCAGCACGCCGCGGUGAAUACGUUCCCGGGCCUU
rnacentral:rRNA from 1 species